CCGGUCGUCCCCAAUAUCUGUGCAAGGAUCACUACAGCUAACAGCACCUCUCGAGAGAGAAAACAAUCCUCGGAUUUCUACUUUCGGAAAUCAUGGCUGAUUCAUACUCUUUUGCACUAACCGCCGAUUUGUAAAUCUUCUUUUCAGUUUAAUUCACCAUUGUGUCUUUCAUUGGAUAUCGAGAGAGAUAAUAGGAGGAGGCAAAAACCGGAGGCUAUGAAAGAAGACACUGUGGAUGAAGUUAGUGAGAAUGAGAUCAAGGCAGUGCAUUUUGAGGAGUCAAUGAAAUAUAGUCAUAGAAGUUCUAGUGGUGCUUCUUUGCACAAAAUAAUUCAGCAGUCUUGUGGUUUUGGCUCUGAAUUCCAGUUUGAAGGUACUACCUUUCUUUACUCCCAUGCUUUGUUUCCUAGCCUUAGUUGUUUUUGUGUAUGACAUAGUAUCACAUAUACUACCAAAUCUCAUGUAAUAUAUAUUAAUUCCUUUUCAUUAUCUCCUCAAGCAAGUUACAUACUUUUUCUUUUAUUAAA